rnacentral:rRNA from 1 species
GACGAACGCUGGCGGCGUGCCUAAUACAUGCAAGUAGAACGCUGAAGAGAGGAGCUUGCUCUUCUUGGAUGAGUUGCGAACGGGUGAGUAACGCGUAGGUAACCUGCCUUGUAGCGGGGGAUAACUAUUGGAAACGAUAGCUAAUACCGCAUAACAAUGGAUGACACAUGUCAUUUAUUUGAAAGGGGCAAUUGCUCCACUACAAGAUGGACCUGCGUUGUAUUAGCUAGUAGGUGAGGUAAUGGCUCACCUAGGCGACGAUACAUAGCCGACCUGAGAGGGUGAUCGGCCACACUGGGACUGAGACACGGCCCAGACUCCUACGGGAGGCAGCAGUAGGGACUCUUCGGCAAUGGGGGCAACCCUGACCGAGCAACGCCGCGUGAGUGAAGAAGGUUUUCGGAUCGUAAAGCUCUGUUGUAAGUCAAGAACGGGUGUGAGAGUGGAAAGUUCACACUGUGACGGUAGCUUACCAGAAAGGGACGGCUAACUACGUG